CUCUCUGAGUCUUAUUUUGACUUUCAACCAUUUCCAUCUCUCUCUCUCUCUCUCUCUCUCUCUCUCUCUCUCUCUCUCUCUCCGUGACUCCCUAAUUCUGUUACCGCCGUGGGAGUGUUAUCGCCGGCGAUUCACUCCCCUGAGUUCCACCACACCCUUCAAUUCAACUCUUCUGCACUCCCUUUAGUCGUUCCUUCGAAAGAAAUGGCUUUCAUCGCUUGCUAGGGUUUCGUCCCUCCCCAAUCGUUCUCCCCCAAAUCACAGUGUACCUAAUCUUCUUCCUCAACCUCUACUAUUUCGUCUUUAUGGCUAUCCGCGUAACCUUCUCCUUCUCCGGCUAUGUCGCCCACAACCUUGUCUCCACCGCCACCUCCCGCAUAUCCAAUUCCCGCUGCCUCCAAGAAUGCUGGAUCCAUUCUCGCCUCUUCGGAGUUAGCCCAAAACAUGACCGAGAUCCCACCGCCAGUGUCCGAAGCUUCCAUUCAGAUCAUCUCCGGCGGCCGAAGCCACGCAAUCCUUGCGCCUACACCACCCUCGCCGGAGAGAUUUUCGGCGAUAACUGCAGCAACCCGAUCGUCUUGGGCUUGAUCUCCAUGAUGAAGUCAACGGUCGGAGUUUCUGGUUCGUCGUCGGCUUCCGUGGGUAUUUUCGGUAUUUCGCCCUUCAAGACCUCUUCCAUCAUACCUUUCUUGCAGGGUUCUAAGUGGCUUCCGUGUAACGAAUCCGUCCCUAAUCCUACCACCACAAACUGGGAGGUCGAUAAGGGCGGAACGCUGUGUUCGGAGGAGGUGGCUGCUAGCGCUGUCUCCGCUGUUGAAGCUGGGAAGAGCAGGUGGCUCUCGCGGGUGUUGAACGUGUGUUCCGAGGAUGCGAAGGCCGCGUUCACCGCCGUCACCGUUAGCUUGCUCUUCAAGUCCUUCUUGGCUGAACCUAGGUCUAUUCCCUCUUCCUCUAUGUACCCAACCCUCGAAGUCGGUGAUCGCAUUAUGGCCGAAAAGUUUUCUUUCUUCUUUAGAAAGCCUAAUGUUUCAGAUAUAGUGAUUUUUAAGGCACCUCCUGUUUUACAAGAAUUUGGUUUCUCUUCCUCUGAUGUGUUUAUAAAAAGGGUUGUAGCUAAGGCUGGAGACACUGUUGAAGUUCGAGAUGGUAAAUUACUUGUGAAUGGCGUUGCUGAAGAAGAGGAAUUCAUUUUAGAGCCUCUUGCUUAUGAAAUGGAAUUAACGGUUGUGCCAGAAGGAUAUGUUUUUGUGUUAGGAGAUAACCGUAAUAACAGCUUUGACUCACAUAACUGGUAACUUCAAUCUCUUUGUAACUAACUUUUGUUUGUUGUUCCAUUGGAGAGUAUGCUGCUUUAGGGGGACAACACAUUUUCAUCUGAUUGUUGAUGCCGUUCUCCUCAAAUAUCUGGCUUUAUGGGUCCACUCCCUCUUGAGAGCAUUGUUGGUAGAUCCAUGUUUCGGUACUGGCCUCCAUCCAAAGUAUCUGACAUCGAUGCACAUCAUAAACUCACAUCUGGAAACAAGGCUGUGGCAAUUUCCUGACAUGAUUCCUGCUGCCUUCCUAUGAUGAUGAAAGGUGGUUCCAGAUACAUAGGUCCAUUUCUUCUGAAUUGAUCGCUGCUCCUGUUUUAGUCGGGAGUGAGCUGUCAUCGGUGUUCAACACUUCUCUGAGAUGAGCAGGAGCCUGCUCAUCGUGAAUAUAGUUUCUGAUGAAUCUUAUUCAUUGACUUGAAUUUGUCAAUGACCCAAUAAUGAUGAAUGUCUUAUUCAUUUAGUGGUAGGCUGCAAUAUUUUGCUCCUUGCCAAAAGGUCCACGGUGAAAAGUAAAAUGAAAGAUGAAUGAUGAUUGAUUUUAUUUUGUGUUCCUCAUGUAAGUUAUUUGAAUGCUGGAAACUCGAGGAAUGCUUUGACAUGGAACCAAGUAUUUCCCUCUAAAUUCCAUGAUCAAACAUCCUCGUCUCAAUCCGAAUUGAUGUCAUUCGGUCAUUUGUGCAAUUGUCUGAGCAUGGUUUAUGGUUGGCAUUUAUCCUUGUUUGUCUGAACAUGAUUUUUCAUUGGCCUAUAAAUGAGCUUUGAUUGAUAAACUUGAUCAAAGCAGAUUUAUCAUCCCCUCAACCCAAUUCCGGCAAGGGUGGGUUAGUUUAUUGUUUUGGUCAACCGCAACCCUUAGUACAGGCAUUGUGGAUCAGGGAGGGUAAAAAGUCCCCCAUUGGGCAAUGGGCAUUAUGAUUAAUCAUUUGUUCGUGUAUUAAUUUUAGUUAUAUUGAUUGUUCGUGAAA